rnacentral:rRNA from 1 species
CUACGUGCCAGCAGCCGCGGUAAUACGGAGGGUGCGAGCGUUAAUCGGAAUAACUGGGCGUAAAGGGCACGCAGGCGGUGACUUAAGUGAGGUGUGAAAGCCCCGGGCUUAACCUGGGAAUUGCAUUUCAUACUGGGUCGCUAGAGUACUUUAGGGAGGGGUAGAAUUCCACGUGUAGCGGUGAAAUGCGUAGAGAUGUGGAGGAAUACCGAAGGCGAAGGCAGCCCCUUGGGAAUGUACUGACGCUCAUGUGCGAAAGCGUGGGGAGCAAACAGGAUUAGAUACCCUGGUAGUCCACGCUGUAAACGCUGUCGAUUUGGGGAUUGGGCUUUAAGCUUGGUGCCCGUAGCUAACGUGAUAAAUCGACCGCCUGGGGAGUACGGCCGCAAGGUUAAAACUCAAAUGAAUUGACGGGGGCCCGCACAAGCGGUGGAGCAUGUGGUUUAAUUCGAUGCAACGCGAAGAACCUUACCUACUCUUGACAUCCAUGGAAUCUUGUAGAGAUACGGGAGUGCA